CAAGGAAGGAAGGGCAAUAGGCGGAUGCCUAGGCACAAAGAGGCGAAGAAGGACGUGAAAAUCUGCGAAAAGCUUAGGGGAGUUGAUAAUAAGCGUUGAUCCUAAGGUAUCCGAAUGGGGGAACCCAAUCCGUAUAGGAUUAGCUGUUAGCUGUAAGGUUAAUGGUGGCGAAACGCAGUGAACUGAAACAUCUAAGUAACUGUAGGAAAGGAAAUCAAAAGAGACUCUGGAAGUAGUGGCGAGCGAAACCGGAAGAGCCGAGUCUUUAAUACAUAGGGAACUAGAAUAUGUUGGGAAGCAUAACCGAAGAGGGUGAAAGUCUCGUAUAGGUAGGAAGUGUAUUAGAGCUAGAGUAGGGCGGAACACGAGAAAUUCUGUUUGAAGAAGGGUGGACCAUCAUCCAAGGCUAAGUACUCCUUUGUGACCGAUAGUGAACAAGUACCGUGAGGGAAAGGUGAAAAGAACCCCGAGAGGGGAGUGAAAUAGACCUGAAACCUGUUGCCUACAAGCAGUUAGAGCUGGUAAUUUUUUAUUACUGGUGAUAGCGUACCUUUGCAUAAUGAGUCAGCGAGUUAAUGUUGCAAGCGAGCUUAAGCCGAUAGGUGAAGGCGAAGCGAAAGCGAGUUUUAAAAGGGCGAGAGUUUGCAGUAUUAGUCCCGCAACCCGAGCGAUCUAGCCAUGGUCAGGUUGAAGGUAAGGUAACACUUACUGGAGGACCGAACCCACUACUGUUGCAAAAGUAGGGGAUGAACUGUGGAUAGGGGUGAAAGGCCAAUCAAGCCGGGAGAUAGCUGGUUCUCCGCGAAAACUAUUGAGGUAGUGCGUCGCAGUUAAUACCUUAGGGGGUAGAGCACUGAAUAGGCUAGGGGGUUUACCGACUUACCAAACCUAAUCAAACUCCGAAUACCUAAGAGUAAUAUGCGGCAGACAGUCCAUGGGUGCUAAGGUCCAUGGACGAGAGGGAAAGAGCCCUGACCUUCAGCUAAGGUCCCGAAGUUGUGGCUAAGUGUGAAAGAAAGUGAGGAGACCAAGACAGCCAGGAGGUUGGCUUAGAAGCAGCCAUCCUUUAAAGAAAGCGUAAUAGCUCACUGGUCUAGUUAAGUUUUUUUGCGUCAAAGAUGUAAGGGGGCUAAAGCCACACACCGAAGCUAAGGAUUGAAUGUAGUGAGAGCUAUAUUUAGUGGUAGCGGAGCGUUCCGUAGGCCGAAGAAGCAUUAUUGUAAGGUAAUGUGGAGGUAUCGGAAGUGAGGAUGCUGACAUGAGUAACGAUAAAUAGAGUGAGAAACUCUAUCGCCGAAAACCUAAGGUUUCCUACGCAAGGUUAAUCCGCGUAGGGUAAGUCGGCCCCCUAAGGCGAGGCUGAAGAGCGUAGCUGAUGGGAACAAGGUAAAGAUUCCUUGACCAUCUGGAGGUGACGGAUGUAAGAGCUAGUGAUGUCUGAGAGGAUUGAUAUUGCGUGUAAUUAUGUUCCAGGAAAUAGCCCCAGAGAUAGACCGUACCGCAAACCGACACAGGUAGGAGGGUUGAGUAUACUAAGGCGCUUGAGAGAAUGAUGUUGAAGGAACUCGGCAAAUUGACUUCGUAACUUCGGGAUAAGAAGUCCCAAUUUAGAGGAAACUUUAGAGAGGGGUCACAGAAGAGGUGGAAGCGACUGUUUAUUAAAAACACAGGACUCUGCGAACUCGUGAGAGGAAGUAUAGGGUCUGACGCCUGCCCGGUGCUGGAAGGUUAAAGAGAGAGGUGAGAGCUUUGAACUGAAGCCCCAGUAAACGGCGGCCGUAACUAUAACGGUCCUAAGGUAGCGAAAUUCCUUGUCGGGUAAGUUCCGACCUGCACGAAUGGCGUAACGAUUUCCACACUGUCUCCAACAUCAACUCAGUGAAAUUGAACUCUCCGUGAAGAUGCGGAGUACCCGCGGUUAGACGGAAAGACCCCGUGCACCUUUACUAUAGCUUUACAUUGGUAUUAUGAGACAGAUGUGUAGGAUAGGUGGGAGACAACGAAGCUUAGACGCAAGUAUAAGUGGAGUCACCCUUGAAAUACCACCCUUUUGUAUUGUGAUAUCUAACCAAGGUAGGAGAACCCUAUCUGGGACAGUGUAUGGUGGGUAGUUUGACUGGGGCGGUCGCCUCCCAAAGAGUAACGGAGGUGUGCAAAGGUAGGCUCAGACUGGACGGAAAUCAGUCGUUGAGUGCAAUGGCAAAAGCCUGCCUGACUGCGAUAGCGACAGCUAGAGCAGAGACGAAAGUCGGUCAUAGUGAUCCGGUGGUUCUGAAUGGAAGGCCAUCGCACAACGGAUAAAAGGUACGCCGGGGAUAACAGGCUGAUACCGCCCAAGAGUUCAAAUCGACGGCGGUGUUUGGCACCUCGAUGUCGACUCAUCACAUCCUGGGGCUGGAGCAGGUCCCAAGGGUUUGGCUGUUCGCCAAUUAAAGUGGUACGUGAGUUGGGUUUAGAACGUCGUGAGACAGUUCGGUCCCUAUCUGCCGUGGGCGAAGGAUAUUUGAGAGGAGCUAUCCCUAGUACGAGAGGACCGGGAUGGACGCACCUCUGGUGUACCUGUUGUCACGCCAGUGGCACAGCAGGGUAGCUAAGUGCGGAAGAGAUAACUGCUGAAAGCAUCUAAGCAGGAAACUCGCCUCAAGAUAAGAUAUCCCCAUUAGAGGCGUUGAAGACUACAACGUUGAUAGGCUGGGUGUGGAAGCAUAGCAAUAUGUGAAGCUAACCAGUACUAAUAACUCGAGAGACUUGA
rnacentral:rRNA from 1 species